UUGUCGUUUGCUUUUGGUUUUAAUGAUAUGCUUUUCAUUUAUUGUGCCCUGCAUUUAUUUCUGAGAGAACGGCGUAAUCAGACGCACAGUAGGCUAGGCAUUUGUAUAAGUGGGCCGUGGGCAUUAAUAUGAAGGGUAGUACAUACAGCUAUGUAGUUUGUUUAUUAGCUGUGGGUCCCGCCAUUUGAAAUCCCAAGAAUCCCAUCAAAUAGGAGCGACAGCAUCACUGUGCGACAGGCACUGUCUGUUGCUUGCUUUUGGCUUUCAUUAUCCAUUUUCAUUUAUUUUACCAUGCAUGAUGUUGGUUAGAAAGAACUAAUAAUUGGCAGUGCAGAUGUGACGGUGGGCCAGGUUCGUACAAGUGGCCGUGGGCCCACCAGCUGGGAUACUGAAAUCCCAUGUAUUUUGAUUGGUAACAAGCUACAGCGCUGCAUGUGCUUCUGUUUCUCAAAGUUUUUUUUUAUAUUAGUCAAAUGGCCUUUCCACUGUGCAUGCUGGCGUAUCAUUGGCCCAUAAUAAGUUUGACCCGGCUUUGACCCAUGGCACUUAUCAAAACGCUGAGUUUUGUUCUCAGCGAGCAUGCCAGGCCUAUGGAAGCGGUUUGAUUCCGUUGGUUUACACUUGUUGGAUUUUUUUUCUUCUUAUAAAUAAAUUACAUUAAUUACUUUAUUUAAAUUUUUAUUUUUUAUUCACUCAUCUUCAAUAAUUC
rnacentral:lncRNA from 1 species